rnacentral:rRNA from 1 species
AUUGAACGCUGGCGGCAGGCCUAACACAUGCAAGUCGAACGAGUGGCGGACGGGUGAGUAAUGUCUGGGAAACUGCCUGAUGGAGGGGGAUAACUACUGGAAACGGUAGCUAAUACCGCAUACCAUCAGAUGUGCCCAGAUGGGAUUAGCUAGUUGGUGGGGUAACGGCUCACCAAGGCGACGAUCCCUAGCUGGUCUGAGAGGAUGACAAGCCACACUGGAACUGAGACACGGACCCGAUUCCUACGGGGGGCACCAGUGGGGAAUAUCGCACAAUGGGCGCAAGCCUGAUGCAGCCAUGCCGGGUGUAUGAAGGAGGCCUUCGGGUUGUAAAGUUCUUUCUGCGGGGAGGCGUUACCCGCAGAAGAAGCACCGGCUAACUCCGUGCCAGCAGCCGCGGUAAUUC